ACGAAGCGCGCUCCUGGAUGCGUGAUCGAUCACUGACCGCGAAUAGCUGAUCGCCCACGGUCGCGCUCUUCACCUUGCGAACGAACGUGCCUUAAUUCUGUCUCGCGUGCGCGCGACAUCCGCGUUGUGACGCAAUUUUAGCGGAUCGUCGACGAUUCGUUCUACCGCGAUCAGCUUGACUCGUGACCGAUAAACGUUGGACGUUGGAAUGCACAAUAGAAUCAACGUGACCUCUCAACCACGAUAAAGCGUCUAAAGCGUCCAGCACGUUGAACAUCUCGUAGCGUUAAAAUGUGAAUCACGCGUAACUGUCGAAGCGCGCGAUUUCUGAUCUGAUUACGAAAAACCGAAAGUAUCUUCGAAGACGAGGCAUGCAAGAAGCUGAGGAAGAAUUAACGCUGCAAGUUUGAAUUGAAUCGAAUUUCCUUUGAUCUCCUUAGAAAAUAAAAUUAAUGGUUUUGCAUCAUUA